AACGAACGCUGGCGGCAGGCUUAACACAUGCAAGUCGAACGUGAAGCUGGAGCUUGCUCCAGUGGAAAGUGGCAGACGGGUGAGUAACGCAUGGGAAUUUACCCAGUGGUUCGGAAUAACUUCAGGAAACCGGAGCUAAUACCGAAUACGCCCUUCGGGGGAAAGAUUUAUCGCCAUUGGAUAAGCCCGCGUCGGAUUAGCUUGUUGGUGAGGUAAAAGCUCACCAAGGCGACGAUCCGUAGCUGGUCUGAGAGGAUGAUCAGCCACACUGGGACUGAGACACGGCCCAGACUCCUACGGGAGGCAGCAGUGGGGAAUAUUGCGCAAUGGAGGAAACUCUGACGCAGCCAUGCCGCGUGAGUGAAGAAGGCCUUAGGGUUGUAAAACUCUUUCGCUAGGGAAGAUAAUGACGGUACCUAGUAAAGAAGCCCCGCCAACU
rnacentral:rRNA from 1 species